UACGUAGGGUGCAAGCGUUGUCCGGAAUUAUUGGGCGUAAAGAGCGUGUAGGCGGCUCGAUUAGUCCGCUGUGAAAGUCCAGGGCUCAACCCUGGAAUGCCGGUGGAUACUGUCGAGCUAGAGUCCGGAAGGGGCGAGUGGAAUUCCUGGUGUAGCGGUGAAAUGCGCAGAUAUCAGGAGGAACACCAAUGGCGAAGGCAGCUCGCUGGGACGUGACUGACGCUGAGACGCGAAAGCGUGGGGAGCGAACAGG
rnacentral:rRNA from 1 species